CAGGAUUCAGGAACAUCCCUCAGGAAGAGAGAGCUACCUGCUGCUUUGUCUGUGUAUUGUGCCCAGAGAGAGAAAUAUGUAAUCAGACAGAAAAGAAAAGUGUCUGUGGGGCUCAAGUUUGAGUUGAAACCAGGCUCAGGGUCCACCUGUCCUCGCUGAUCCGUGGAUUUCUGUGUGACCAGCUGACACCUAUGGAGCUGUGGCCCUGACUACUACCAGUGAGUAUUCCUGGCCCUCAUCUCCUGGGUUCCAUCCCCAUUUGGGGUUGGGGAGCAGUGGUUCUCCUGCACCCACUGUCCUUGGUGAGAGAAGGACCUGGAAGGGCCCUAACUCAUCCCUUCUCUCUCUCCCGUGUUCUGGUGGAGAGUUCCAGCCCAGGGUGAGAAAGCCUUAGUGACAGACGUGUUCUCCACCACAUUCUGACCCCACGUGGUUUUCACUUUAAUUCUCCUAAAGCCUCGCCCUUGGUCCUCCUUUUCCAGG